rnacentral:lncRNA from 1 species
UUGGUGGUUGAAACUUGAACUACUGCUGUUACUGGCUUACUGCCCCUGGUUACUGCUGUUCCAAAUUACAGUAUACUUAAAUCUUCUGCUUCAUUUCUGUGAAGUUCUGAAUACGUUAAAUAAUUAUUUUUUCUGAAUUACGUGCUUAAAGUUGUCUUCGUAUUAUUUUUCAAUACAUAAUUGUCGGUUUUAUAACCGAAACCGAGCCGAUUAUAACCGAACCGGACUUUUUAAACCGAAACCGAAUCCGAACCGGCGGUUGCGGUUUUCGAUUUUAAAAACCGAGGAUAUAUGGUUGCGGUUCCGGUUUUAGCCGGAAACCGAGCCGA